CCAUGAUGAAUUGUCGCGAAGAUCAUUUUCCAGCCAGCUGCAUUUUAGAGCACACGGUUGGAAAGAAAGGUUUGGAAAAAGAAGUCGACAUGUUUCUCACAAUGGACCCUUGAUUUUGGACGCAGUUUUCACUGACAGUGUCGAGAACACGAUUUGAAUACAUUUCCUAAAUUGAAUAUUCAUCAGGACAUUCCCGUGGCAGAUUGACCAAAGUAUUGUAAAAGAUAUUCUCAUCCAGCUUCAUCACACGGGCAUUUGCGAGACGUUUUGACACGACGAUUUGAAUGAAAGACAUUUCUUCUUUGGCCUUUGUUUCGUUAUAAUUUGAUUGAUUUAGAGGAUCUUUGUAUGUUUAUUGUAAAGUUGAAGGAUAAUUCAAGAUUUUGCAUCCUGCUCUCAAAUAGUUUCAGCGAUUGAUAGGACCCCUAUUUCAUAGAUUUUCAUACCCUACUUCCAAUUGGUUUUUUUACGAGGAUGUUUAUGAAACACACGGUUCCCUCAUUGUACUUUUACAGAGUUUGCCCCCUAUGCGUUAUAAACAUCUAUUAGAUUUUGCUUUAAAUGUGCUAUUUAACUUUGGAGGAUCCUCAACUCUAGCCAUUUAUUGUUACCAAUCUUGCAAUUGGUUUUUUACGAGGAUGUUGGUGAAAUACACGCCUCCCUCAUUGUGAUAUAUUUGAGGGUUUGCCUCAUAUAUUUUGAAAACAUCAGAUUUUAGAUUUUGCUUUAGUUAUGGAUUUUGUUUUGAGGAUUCUCAACUCUAGGGUUGGCUCACCAAUAGUAACUAUUAAUUGUUGUUGUUUUCAAAAUUAGCAAACAUUUUGAUAAUUAUUAUGAUGAUGAAGUAAA